GGGGAAUUUUGGACAAUGGGCGCAAGCCUGAUCCAGCCAUGCCGCGUGCGGGAAGAAGGCCUUCGGGUUGUAAACCGCUUUUGUCAGGGAAGAAAUCCUCUGGGCUAAUACCUCGGGGGGAUGACGGUACCUGAAGAAUAAGCACCGGCUAACUACGUGCCAGCAGCCGCGGUAAUACGUAGGGUGCGAGCGUUAAUCGGAAUUACUGGGCGUAAAGCGUGCGCAGGCGGUUUUGUAAGACAGAGGUGAAAUCCCCGGGCUCAACCUGGGAACUGCCUUUGUGACUGCAAGGCUUGAGUGCGGCAGAGGGGGAUGGAAUUCCGCGUGUAGCAGUGAAAUGCGUAGAUAUGCGGAGGAACACCGAUGGCGAAGGCAAUCCCCUGGGCCUGCACUGACGCUCAUGCACGAAAGCGUGGGGAGCAAAC
rnacentral:rRNA from 1 species